AUAUUAAAACGUAUUAAAACAAACAAUAAUACAGAGCAGAUGGGAGGGGGACAUAAAAUAGGUAGACCUAUUUUAUGUCCCCCUCCCAUCUGCUCUGUAUUAUUGUUUGUUUUAAAUUCAAUUGCAGCU